UACGGGGGGGGGCAAGCGUUAUUCGGAAUUACUGGGCGUAAAGGGCGCGUAGGCGGCCUUCUAAGUCGGACGUGAAAUCCCUCGGCUUAACCGAGGAACUGCGUCCGAUACUGAAAGGCUUGAAUCCGGGAGAGGGAUGUGGAAUUCCAGGUGUAGCGGUGAAAUGCGUAGAUAUCUGGAGGAACACCGGUGGCGAAGGCGGCAUCCUGGACCGGCAUUGACGCUGAGGCGCGAAAGCUAGGGGAGCAAACGGG
rnacentral:rRNA from 1 species